ensembl:snoRNA SNORD24 Small nucleolar RNA SNORD24
UGCUGCUGUGAUGACAUUUAUUUGCUACUCUCGACAAGAUGGAUGACGAUACUUGCAACCACCAUAUUACAUUAUCUGAGGCA